rfam:Colinus virginianus strain Texas jcf7180006227077, whole genome shotgun sequence.
UUUGUCUGAUGAUGCUCAGAACAUUGUAUGAGAAAUAAGAGAGAGAAACUGCAACAGCCUGAGGAAAAA